GCAGCGAUUCCAGUCCCUUCCCCAAUGAGACCCAACAGUAUCUGCUCAGUGCCAACAAAGUUAUGUCCAAGUCUCCGAGCUUCCUCUUGAGACAGCAUUAUGACCUUGAUAGCUUUCUCGGUGAACCGCUCAAACAUGGCUUUUGUAGUCACACAUCGAGAACCGCUCAAACAUGGCUUUUGUCACACAUCGGCUCGCUUUUCCUUUGCGGGAAGAGAUUUGAAGGUUAACUUUACUAAAGAAACCAUGAGCAGGCCUUGCUAUUAGAUCCACUGCAUUGGCAGACCUUAACCCUGAGAAGCUCUGGAUGCUCAAAACCGGCGUUUGUGAAGUGUACAUCAUCUUCACACAUCGUCUUGGUUUUCUAUAGUCGUCGGACUGAACAUGUCUUCCGGGACCAAGUAAAGGACGGGCUGUGAAAUUAGCCAAGAGCCUAGCCAUGAUGGCGAGAGUUGGAUGGAGGCUGCAUUGGGUAAACGGUAAAUCAUAAGUUGUAAGCUCUUAUAGACCAAAAAUAAAAGACAACACCAGAAGAAGAGAAAGUUUUGGCUAGAGAAGGCAAACAUCACAAAAAGAAGCGAGAGAGAGAGAGAUUGAAGCUAAUCAUACUCUUAAACCAGUUUAUAGAAAGAGCUCUCUCUCUCUCUCUCUCUCUCUGGCACAAAAGAUGCAUAACUCAGUCCACUAACUAAAAGCAGAACAGUCAUUCUGAGUGAGAUUAGCAACCAAAGCAUACAAUCUUUGAACAAAUACAAAACCCUAAUCCCCAAGUAAACAUUUUUUUCUCAACU
rnacentral:lncRNA from 1 species